rnacentral:rRNA from 1 species
GGUGAACGCUGGCGGCGUGGAUAAGGCAUGCAAGUCGAAUGCAUUUAGUUGCAUGGCAGACGAGGUAGUAACACGUAGGUACGUACCCCAAAGUCGGGCAUAAUCAGUCGAAAGACUGGAUAAUUCCCGAUGGUCCCGCAAGGGUAAAGAUUUAUCGCUUUGGGAGCGGCCUGCGUAGUAUCAGCUUGUUGGUAAGGUAAUGGCUUACCAAGGCUAUGACGCUUAGGGGAGGUGAGAGCCCGACCCCCACCGAUGGAACUGCGACACGGUCCAU